UAUCCUACGGGAGGCUGCAGUGGGGAAUAUUGGACAAUGGGCGCAAGCCUGAUCCAGCCAUGCCGCGUGAGUGAUGACGGCCUUAGGGUUGUAAAGCUCUUUCGCCAGGGACGAUAAUGACGGUACCUGGAUAAGAAGCCCCGGCUAACUUCGUGCCAGCAGCCGCGGUAAUACGAAGGGGGCUAGCGUUGUUCGGAAUCACUGGGCGUAAAGCGCACGUAGGCGGAUCUUUAAGUCAGAGGUGAAAUCCCAAGGCUCAACCUUGGAACUGCCUUUGAUACUGGGGAUCUCGAGUUCGGGAGAGGUGAGUGGAACUGCGAGUGUAGAGGUGAAAUUCGUAGAUAUUCGCAAGAACACCAGUGGCGAAGGCGGCUCACUGGCCCGAUACUGACGCUGAGGUGCGAAAGCGUGGGGAGCAAACAGGAUUAGAUACCCCUGUAGUC
rnacentral:rRNA from 1 species